UUAAAUUACCGGAGCUUGAAUCACAACAGUUCACUGAAAAAUCUUUUAGGUGCAAGAGAGAGGAAAAAAUAAUAAAAUAAUAAAGAAAUCGAAAGGAAAAGAAAUGGGAGGAGUUCAUAGCUUAAGGACUAUUGUAAUUUCCUCCAUUUUCCUUAAAAAAAGGAAAAAAAAAAGUUAAUGCGAAGGAAACAAAAAGAACCGGCCCUAGGGUUUCAAAGCUCGUGAAGCCCGGAAUCCGUGAAAAUCCUAUUUCAAAGCGUCGCGUGAAAUUGGCUUUGGAACUUCUCCCCCCAUCAUUCAGCUUCUGUAUCUUUCUAGCAGUGUCCCGUGGGACGUCCCCCGAGAACACAGCAGCUGGCUGGAAUCCCCGGACCUCACUUCUCCAACUGAAUGUCGAUGUGCAGGUGGAAAGACGAAAAAGACUUUGGCUAGGUCACCACGAAGCCCCCACCCACCCAGAUCACAAGUACACUGCAACUGACCCUGAAUGAACCACCCUGACCCCUCAAAAUCCAGAAAACUCUGAACACCCCCCUCCCUCCAUCUCCCCACCCCCACCCCCCCACCCCCACUUUGGUACUCGGAUUGUGGCUGCCGCCAAUCUCCCGCCUAUGCCAUCUUGGGCUCUUAGCAUCUUCCAGGAAGCGAGACUUUCGCAUUCAGAUCACGUCUCCAGUGUCUUUGCGAACUUGAGCCAACUUUGCAAGACCCGCCAGGACCUGCUGGGUUUUGGUGCCUGAACUAUGAAUCCACUGCUUUUGGCGGCCAACUUUUUCUCCAUUGUUGUUGCUGUUAUUGUCGCUGCUGCUGCUGCUGCUAUUGUUGGAUAGGACAGAGAAUUUGAGAGAAGAGGGGGAAACAGAGGGAGAGAAAGAUAGACACUUGCAGACCUGCUUCAUCACUUAGGAAGCAACCUCCCUGCAGGUGGGGAGCCAGGGGCUCGAACCAGGAUCCUUCAGCCAUUCCUUGUGCUUCGCUUCGUACUAUGUGUGCUUAACCGGGUAAGCCACUGCCCCCUUCCCAAUUAAAUUCUUAAUGCCCAGUGGAACGCUAUACUAUAACUUUUUAUUGAGCCUCUCAAUUUUGUUUUUUCACCUUUAAAAUAUUUGAUAUAGGGUUAAAGAACAUAAAUGAACUUGAUCUCCCUUGUAAUGACAAAAAUGGAGAUGAAAAAAAAAAAACACAGAAUUUCCACUUCUGAAUGAAAGGAAUUUCCACAAAUGUUUUGUGUCUGUCCCCUUUAUAGCAGGUGGAUGCUGUAGUUUUUCUGGGAUGUUAUUUUUGGCUCUUGUGAAGAAAGCAGCAGAUUAAUAUUUAAUGUCAUAACUGAUAAUGCAGCAAUGACAACAUGCUGUCUACCACACAAGCCAAGAUUAAGGAACACUCAAGAAAGGGCCUUUUUUCACUUACCCCCCCCCAAAAAAAAUACACUCAAACACUAAUCCAAAGAGACAUCUGGACCCCUCUGUUUCUAACUGCAUUGUUCACAAUAGCCAAAGAGUAGAAGCAGGCAAAAUGCCCAUGGACAGAAGACUGACUAAAGAUAUUUUGGGAUAUUAACUCCAUGCAAUGCUACUAAGAUGAUUUUGUGUCAUUUGGGAAAAAAUAGGUGAAACUAGAGGUGAUUAUGCUUAGCAAAAUAAGUAAAAAGAUAAAAGAUGGGGCCGGGCGGUGGCACACCUGGUUAAGCAUACACAUUACAGUGUACAAGGACCUGGGUUCAAGCCCCUGGUUCCCACCUACAGGGGGAAAAUUUUACAAGUGGUGAAGCAGUAUUGCAGGUGUCUCUCUGUUUCUCUCCCCCUCUGUCUUCCCCAUCUCACUUUCUCUCAAUCUCUAUCCUUAAAUAAAUAAAUAAAUAAAUAAAUAAAUAAAUAAAAAGAUAACAACUCGUGGAAUCUAGAGAUCUGAUACACAUGAACUUGAAAAGAAAAAAAUAAACAAGUGAAUAAACUGUCUCAAA